rnacentral:rRNA from 1 species
GAUGAACGCUAGCUACAGGCUUAACACAUGCAAGUCGAGGGGCAGCAUGAUCGAAGCUUGCUUUGAUUGAUGGCGACCGGCGCACGGGUGAGUAACGCGUAUCCAACCUUCCCUGUAGUAGAGAAUAGCCCGGCGAAAGUCGGAUUAAUGCUCUAUGUUGUAUUUCGAUGACAUCUGAAGAAUACCAAAGGUUUACCGCUAUAGGAUGGGGAUGCGUCUGAUUAGGUUGUAGGCGGGGUAACGGCCCACCAAGCCGACGAUCAGUAGGGGUUCUGAGAGGAAGGUCCCCCACAUUGGAACUGAGACACGGUCCAAACUCCUACGGGAGGCAGCAGUGAGGAAUAUUGGUCAAUGGACGGAAGUCUGAACCAGCCAAGUAGCGUGCAGGAUGACGGCCCUAUGGGUUGUAAACUGCUUUUAUAUAGGGAUAAAGUCGGGGACGUGUCCCCGUUGUAG